GCAAUAAUCAUGAUGGUGCCCAGUUUUACCAGACCACAGUCAUGUGAUCAUUGUCACCUCCACGCACGGCCAUCGAAAGAUAAGCUUGGGGCUGUAGCCACGUCCAAGGGAGAUCUAGCCUGAUGGAGUGUCCUGGAGGCAGCUGAAGGAGUGACAGAUCGGCGUGUUACAGAGUGGGGCCAUUUGAGGCAGCCAGGAAGGUGGGACACACUCGGGCUGCCUGCCUUGCACUGACGAAAUGCACAAAGGGAGAGGAGAGUGGAAGACAAAGCCUACACAUGGAGCUGCCACAAGAAGUCUUUCAGCUACUGAGCAGCUAGGAUCCCCGGGGCAAGGAUGGCAGAGCAACUUCCCAAGGCUGGCUGGCCGAGACAGAUCGUUUUCCAAUUUCACGGGCUCUGUGGAUGACCGCGGCACCUGCCAGUGCUCCGUGUCCCUGCCAGACAAGGUCUUUCCCGUGGAAAGAGUGGAACGCUUGGAAUUCACAGCUCACAUCCUUUCCGAGAAGUUCGAGAAAGAGCUUUCUAAAGUAAGCAUUUUCUUUUCCACUAGUAUGUUGGUAAGAAUAAACAAACAACAAAACAAAACUUUUUAUAAUUC
rnacentral:lncRNA from 1 species